CUGGACCACCAGCCAAGGCUAAAUAUAAUAUACGAUCGAUAGUGAACUAGUACAGUGAUGGAAAGGUGAAAAGAACCCCGGGAGGGGAGUGAAAUAGAUCCUGAAAUUUAGUGCCUACAAGGAGUCGGAGCCGGCUUGUCCGGUGACGGCGUGCUUUUUGUAGAACGAUCCAGCGAGUUAAUUUUUACAGCGAGGUUAAGUCAAUUGACGGAGCCACAGUGAAAGCGAGCCUGAAUAGGGCGAAUAAGUUGUAAGGAUUAGACCCGAAACCGGGUGACCUAACCAUGAGCAGGUUGAAGCCACUGUAACAGGUGGUGGAGGACCGAACCAGGAUACGCAGCAAAGUGUUUGGAUGACUUGUGGUUAGCGGUGAAAUGCCAAUCGAACUCGGAGAUAGCUGGUUCUCCUCGAAAUAGCUUUAGGGCUAGCGUCGUGUUAGUAGCGCAUGGGGGUAGAGCUCUGUAAAGGACUGGGGCGGGCAACUGUACCCACCCUUAACAAACUACGAAUACCAUGUGUGUAAUCACGGCAGUUAGAACAUCGGUGCUAAGAUCGGUGCUCAAAAGGGAAACAGCCCAGACCAUCAUCUAAGGUCCCUAAAUUAACGUUCAGUGGGAAACAAGGUGAGAUUUCUUAAACAGCUAGGAUGUUGGCUUAGAAGCAGCCAUUCAUUUAAAGAGUGCGUAACAGCUCACUAGUCAAGAGAUCUUGCGUGGAAAAUGUAACGGGGCUAAAACGUUAUACCGAAGAUAUGGAUGUCAGAUUUAUCUGGCGUGGUAGAGGAGCGUUCCUAUCAGCAGUGAAGUCGAAUCGGAAGGUUCGGUGGAGCGGUAGGAAGUGAGAAUGCUGGAAUGAGUAACCAUAAGAGAGGUGAGAAUCCUCUCGGCCGUAAGAGCAAGGUUUCCUGAGCCAUGGUAAUCAUCUCAGGGUUAGUCGGGCCUAAGCCGAGGCGUAGAGCGUAGGCGAUGGACAUCAGGUUAAUAUUCCUGAACCGGUUAAGUUUUGUACACUGUUCACGGGGAAGUAAUCGAAGCGGAUUCAUGGUUUAUCCGUCCAACCGAGCGGGAACGCAAAGGGAGUGAGAGUGAUUCUUCGGAGUCGCGAUUUUGGUGAAAGCCCUGGCUAGAAAAGCAGGUGUACGCGUGGACUUAGCCGCCCGUACCGCAAACCAACACAGGUGCUCGAGUCGAGUAGACUCAGGCUUACGAGCGAACCUUCGCUAAGGAACUCGGCAAUACAGCGACCGUAACUUCGGGAUAAGGUCUGCCCCCACUUCGGUGGAUAUCAGCCGCGUUCACUCAGUGAAUAUUAGGUUAAAGAGUACAUUUUUAAUCACAAAACGAAUUUUCUGAGAUAGAGCAAACGAAUUGUUCUUUUGAACGCGAACCUCUGACGUCUAACGAUGUGGGGGCCGCAGCAAAAGAGCCCACGGAACUGUUUAUCAAAAACACAGGUCUCUGCUAACACGAAAGUGGAUGUAUAGGGGCUGACUCCUGCCCAAUGCUGGAAGGUUAAGGGGAGCGCUUCACGGUGCGAACUGAAGCCCUAGUCAAUGGCGGCGGUAACUAUAACCGUCCUAAGGUAGCGAAAUUCCUUGUCAGGUAAGUUCUGACCCGCACGAAUGGAGUAAUCAUGUGGGCACUGUCUCAGCGAAGGACUCGGUGAAAGUGCAUUGGCGGUAAAGAUGCCGUCUGUCCGUACCAGGACGAAAAGACCCCAUGGAGCUUUACUACAGCUUUACAUUGAAUAUGGUUUCAACAUGUGUAGCAUAGGUGGGAGACUUUGAAGCAGAUACGCCAGUAUUUGUGGAGUCACCAAGUGAAAUACCACCCUUGUUGUGAUUGUGUUCUCACGCUGACCGUUAUCCGGUUAGCGGACCGUGUAUGGUGGGUAGUUUAACUGGGGCGGUUGCCUCCUAAAGAGUAGCGGAGGCGUUCAAAGGUUGGCUAACUUCGGAUGGAAAUCGAAGUGAUAGUGUAUGCGCAUAAGCCAGCUUGACUGUGAGGAGUACAUUCCAAUCAGAGACGAAAGUCGGAGCAAGUGAUCCGCUGUACGUACAUUUGUACAUGAAUGUGGGAUCGACAGCGCAAACGGAUAAAAGUUACCCUGGGGAUAACAGGCUUAUAGCGCCCAAUAGUUCACAUAGACGGCGCUGUUUGGCACCUCGAUGUCGGCUCAUCACAUCCUGGAGGGGGAGCACCUUCCAAGGGUUCGGCUGUUCGCCGAUUAAAGUGGUACGCGAGCUGGGUUCAGAACGUCGUGAGACAGUUCGGUUUAUAUCCGGUAUGGACGAUAGGAAACUUGAGAGGAUCUACCCCUAGUACGAGAGGACCGGGGCGGACGCACCUCUGGUGUAUCGAUUGUGGCCACCUGCUGCAUUGUCGAGUAGCUAUGUGCGGACUAGAUAAGCGCUGAAAGCAUAUUAAGCGCGAAACUAACCUCAAGAUAAGGUUUCCCUAUGAGGACACAGAAAGACUAUCUGUUUGAUAGGCGCAAGGUGGAAGUACAGUAAUGUAUGGAGCUAAAGCGUACUAAUAGUCCCAUUGCCUUUUUA
rnacentral:rRNA from 1 species